CAGGAGGAAGGCAUGGGGUGCUUUCCUCCAAGACUUUGUCAUCCUCCCAGCUCCACCUGCGCCCCACCCCCCCCACCCCCCCGCACCCAGCCCCGACUCAUCCCCUUGCUGUUUGUGUGGAUAAAUGUUUUCCGGGAUUUGAAGAGAACACACCACGUGCUCCACAGCUGCAUUUUUAUUCAGAAGCAGAAGGGUAGAGCCUUUUGUGACACGAUCACAUUCUUGCCCAGUUUGCUUUCCUGCUAGCAUCUCUUGUCGGCUACCCAUCUUCCCGUCGUGGUGCUUGAGAGUAGAAACUAUUUUCUGCCUUUUCCUCCUCAACAAGUGCCUAGUGAAUUGGAGCUUCUAGGGUGGAGAAGAGAUGGCAAAAGGAAUGAUUCAGUAAUAUGGAGACAUAAAGAGCCAUCCAUGUGGAGACAGUAACACAUCUUUUCCAUCCAUCUGUUGAAGGCCUUACAAUAGAACUAAGCCAAGGUUAUAAAAAGAUUGCAAUUUUCCAUAUGGAAGAGCCAGAUUUAGGGCCAGGAGGAAGGAACAGAGAGGGUGUUUCUAACGUUUCUGACAUGAGAGAGUCUACAUGUGUAGGGCUUUUCUUCCAAAAUACCUCAUCCUAUGACAGAAGUCAGGUUCGGGGAAACGUACUGCUCUCAGUUGACUUAGAACGGAAAGUACGUUUACUUUGUGAGAAAUUGCUUCAUAUUAGGAAAGCAUCUGGGAGUCUGCUGUAAUUCUCCCUCUGGGACUCAUGCCGUUAUCCUGUUAGGAAGUGGUUCUGAGUGAGCUGAGGGCUUCUGAAAUCUCCUUCAGGACCUUAGUUCUGGGCUGUAACGUAAGAUGCACACAUCCCUGGAGAACUGCAGUCCUCUCGUUAGCCCUGCUGUUCUCUCCCUCCCCGGAGUCACUGUGAAGUCACGGAUACAGCAGUAACACUGUAAACCCAUUAGUUCUCUCAAGGGAGUAGGAUUUCCUAAGUUCGCUCUGUCCCAGCUCUUGUCUGUCCUGAAGCCAAAAUAACAAAAACAGUGUGAUUCUGUGAAAACCAUGGAAUCUGUGGACCCACCAGGAUAGAUCAGACAGACCUCAGUAUACAUAAAACCUCACUAAAGUAAAACCUCUUGAUGACUCUGUGGGCUUCUGACUUCCAUCCAGCUCUCAGUCUCAAAUGGAGCCUAACAUUUGCUGCUGCUUCUGACAAAAGCCUGGAGGAGAUGGGAGGUGUUUUCCUGACCCAAUAUCCCCAGAUCUUGCUAAGGUGAGUGCCCACUCACCGAGAGAUUCUUGCACCACUAGCAUAGGCUACGAAGGCCAUCGUCAGUCAGGAGCCACAGCUAUCACCACUGACAGUGAACCCAUGUGAACAGCUGCACAGAUGUGCCCAGUGGGUCUGGGGGCCUCAACAGCUGCUACGUGAUCAUCUUGCUGUCAUCACAUGUGUUUUAUGAAAAUGAACAUUUAGACCCUCGUUUCCCCUGAAAGCAGAGCUUUGCAGAAGAUGACGGCCAAAGCAUCAUGAAGUAAUGGGGCUGGCCUCAGUUACUGAGGGGAAAUUGGGAAGAACACAGACAUCUGGGUCAAAGGUCACUCUUCAAUGGUAAAAGUAGUUCCCGAAAUUACAAAGGAAAGUUGCAACUAUGGAAAUUUUAAGAUGCAUGUCCAAAAAUCAUGUUAAAAACAGACCAGACAGCAAGUAGGAAAAAUAGUUGCCAUAACUGUGAUGUUUCCCAGCUGUCACCAGGUUCCCAUACGUGAGUGGGAGAGAUGUGUGUGCGUACAUGUGAACACACAAUCACGUGGACAUGCCAAAGAGAGGAGUGUGUGAUUACCGCUGUGUGUAUAUGUUAAAUAAAUCAUCAUACCUGCAAUAGUACACCAUAUGGCUACAGAAUGUUUUGUUUUCAGGAAGUUUUAAUUCCUUAGGAAAAGCUCAUAAUCUGAGGUGAUGACAUGUUACAUAUCCAAUUGUGCCCUAACUGUGUGUGUUCGACAUGUAGAUUUAGGCACAAAGGAGAACAUAUUGAAAGGAACUAGAUCGAAAAGAAUAUAGAGGUUAGAUCUUUGUAGUGAGAGUGUCGAUGAUUGCUUUUCCUGCAUGAUUUUCUGCAUUUUCAGGCUUUAAAAACAUGAGUAUGUUCAUUUUACAAUUGGAAAACAAAACCAACAUUAAAACAGAAAAUAUAUCUCCCCUCAAAGCUUUGCCCUUCCUUUGAAGGUUGAAGUUCUAGGGUGCCUGGGUGGCUCAGUCAGUUUAACGUCUGCCUUUGUCUGGGGUCAUGAUCUCAGGGUUCUAGGGAUUGAGUCCAGCUGAGCAGGGAGCCUGCUUCUCCCUCUGCCUCUACCUCUCCUCUGUUUGUGUAUGCUAGCUCAUUCUCUCAAGUAAAUAAAAUAAAAUCUUUUAAAAAAAUAGUAAGUUUUGUCCAUUCUAAAAUAGGAACUUUAAGUGAAAAAGCCCAUCAAACUAAUUUGUUUAAAUUUUUUUAAAUGAAUAUUUUAUGCUGCCUUUCUGUAAUAGUGGGUGGGAGACUCAAGUGAGGGACUUAUGGAAAGCCUGAAUGCUCUUACAUGUCAGCUGCACUGGGGACACCACUACCCUUGAGCGUCUGGGGUCCCUGCAGUCUCCCUGUGACACUCGCCCACUCAGGCAUGUGCUGCUGACCUCAUGGUUUGCACCUGCAUACUCAUCUGAAGCCAAAAUGUGGGGAGUCCUCCUACCAAGCCCCUUUUUUUUAGCACCUUUUUCAUUCAACCAUCAAUUUAGUGGUUUACAAUACAUCUCUCUCACUUGCUGAUCACAUGAAGAGUCAGCAUUAUUUUUCAAAACAUUUUAAGACACGAGUUCUUCCCUCUCUUGUGGAAGAUCAUUUCCAUUGAUUAUUCACAUGACGAUUUCAGCCUCGAACUCUGAUUGGGGGCGCCUGGCUUUCCAGCUCUUGUCGGAUGGCUUGGUGUUCAGAUACCCAGGUAGUGAUCUGAAGGAUCUAAAGCUCCACAGAAUACAGCAGAAUUUCAAAGCAGGAGAGGGCUUUAGAAAUGAUAGAAUCCAGUUCUGUUUAUUUUACAGAAGAAGAGGCUGAAGUCGGAGAGCUUGGGGCCCUCACUUAGCCCCCUGUUAAUCACAGGCUUCCUGACCUGCCAUCAUGAUCUUCUUGUUACAUUGUCCUCAGGAUACAUGUCCAGACUCUGUCCAGACUCUGUUCUGUGGUGUUUGGGUGUCAUUGGCAUAGAGUCUGCACCACUCGGAGCCAAACACAGCGGCCCAGAAGUUUCUGCCUCGCUGCUGUGGUGCUUCUCACUGUGGCCUGAGAACAGGUGGGCCCCGCCACGCUGGGCUCUUCCUCAUGUUCCCUCAGAAAAUUCCCAUUUGUUCUCGUCAGAUUCCUUUCAGCUUAGUUGAUUUUUUUAACCUUGGACUUCCGGCUGAGAAGGAAUCUCUUUUCUAUCCAUAUUAUUUUUACAAAAGCUGACCUUGUUUGGGUUUUGCUUUGAUCUUUAUUGGAUCUUUUGGUAGUGGAGUUAUGUAAAUUUAGUUUCUAAGCUACAGAUAAAUGUGAGCAAAUGUGGUUAAGAAAAUUUUGUUUCUCUAUAUACUGGUGUUCUUAAAAGCAUAACGAAAGAAUUUCUGUGGAUGGUGAGCACUGGCCUGUCCUCCUGGCCUGCACAAUGAAGAUGUCACAACAGCUGCGAGGUAUUGCUUACACUGUCGGAAUUCAUUUUGAUACAGUAGAUUUUUAUCAUUUUUGUAACUCCCCCUCAAAGGUUUUUUUGUUUUGUUUUGUUUUUUAAGUAGCAGGUAUGACUUUCAACCUUCAAUACUCAAACUUGUAUGAUAAAGAGUAAUUUUGUAGAGGCAAUGUAAUCCCAAAUAUGUGGGAAAUGAAUUUUAAGAAAGGUGAAUGAUGUGUGUUGUAAUUUUGAGCUCAAAUAAUUGUUUUCACGGUGAACCAAAUAUGGACAAGUCAAACCCAAAACUGGGGACCAGGAGAACUUGGAGGAGGAGGUGACCAACAGGUUAGUGAAGGAUGUUUGUGUUUCUGCUAUGGUCUCUGUCUCACCAAGGAGGGCCCUGUCCUCGUGGAAAACUGACGAC